rnacentral:rRNA from 1 species
AGCAGCCGCGGUAAUUCCAGCUCCAAUAGCGUAUAUUAAAGUUGUUGCAGUUAAAAAGCUCGUAGUUGAACUUCGGGGUUUACUCAUUGGUCAGGCUUAAUUGUCUGUACUGGUGAGAUGAAUCUCUACCUUCUGAGGAACUUUCAUGCCAUUUAUUUGGUGUAGUUGGAAAUCAGGACUGUUACUUUGAAAAAAUUAGAGUGUUUAAAGCAGGCUAACGUCUGAAUACAUUAGCAUGGAAUAAUGAAAUAGGACGGAUUGAUUCUAUUUCGUUGGUUUCUAGGGUCACCGUAAUGAUUAAUAGGGAUAGUUGGGGGCAUUAGUAUUCAAUUGUCAGAGGUGAAAUUCUUGGAUUUAUUGAAGACUAACUACUGCGAAAGCAUUUGCUAAGGAUGUUUUCAUUAAUCAAGAACGAAAGUUAGGGGAUUGAAGACGAUCAGAUACCGUCGUAGUCUUAACCAUAAACUAUGCCGACUAGGGAUCGGACGAAGUUAAUUAAUAAUGACGCGUUCGGCACCUU